UAAAACCUGCAGGACACUACCCCACAUCUUCUGA
rnacentral:tRNA from 2 species